AUUGAACGCUGGCGGCAGGCCUAACACAUGCAAGUCGAGCGAGCGGCGGACGGGUGAGUAAUGUCUGGGAAACUGCCUGAUGGAGGGGGGUAACUUCUGGAAACGGUAGCUAAUACCGCAUACCAUCAGAUCUUCCCAGUUGGGAUUAGCUAGUGGGUGGGGUAACGGCUCACCAAGGCGACGAUCCCUAGCUGGUCUGAGAGGAUGACCAGCCACACUGGAACUGAGACACGGUCCAGACUCCUACGGGAGGCAGCAGUGGGGAAUAUUGCACAAUGGGCGCAAGCCUGAUGCAGCCAUGCCGCGUGAGUGAAGAAGGCCUUCGGGUUGUAAAGCACUUUCAGCGGGGAGGCGUUACCCGAAGAAGAAGCACCGGCUAACUCCGUGCCAGCAGCCGCGGUAAUAC
rnacentral:rRNA from 1 species